AAGCGCCUGAAAAACGAAAAAAAAGGAAAAGUGUGGGGAACCGAGGUCGUCUUGGGCUGUCGCCUCUCCCUCUCCCAGAAGGAAUGAAGAGGUUCUUGGAAAGCAGGGACGGGCGAUUCUCUCUGUCAGCAUCAGCUCCCACCAGCGAGGACGGGGCGAGAAAGCGAAACGGGGCUUUCCUUGCUGUCUAUUUUUUCUUCGUCAGGCCAACGCCGCCUGCUCACAGGGGCGCAGGCGAGUUCCCGCCAAAUGGCGCGGGGGCGCAAGCAGUUGCGUGAGUUGCCGCCAAAUAGCUCUGGAUGCCAGCUCGUUCCGCGUCUCUUGGUAGACUAGUUGGUGCAUUUCUGCUAUCAUGGACUGCGCAUAUAAACGCAAACUACACAAAAGUGACAUGGACAAGAACAGCGCAAGCCCUUUCCAUGCAGUGGAGCCGCCGUAUCUCGCCGUUCAAGAUAUGCGUACUCGAAGAAAAAAAAAAGAGGCUUUACAUGAGAACGGAUCAAGCGUUCGAGAGUUGGGACAGGGAAAUGUGAGACGUACUUUCAUGUAUAUAUUUCUAAUAUUAUUUUUUCGUCUUGUAUUCUCGUUAAUUUUUCUCUAGGAAACACUGGAACGACACUGCUUAAAUUGAAGCACAGUGUGCGAAUGACCUGCUACGCUCGGAACUGUUAUCACCAUUCGGGAAGAAAUUGGAUGAAAAAACAUAACUGUAAAUACCUGUAUGAUAUACGUCUGGUGCAUUGCAGGUAAGAAUGGAUUGUGUGUGGCGCGCUUCACCGCAUGUGGACUAGAGUAGAUCUAGGAACAUCAGACAAGAAGACACGUAUGUGAAACCCUGCGGAUAGCCCAUAUGUGAACUUUUUUUCCAGAUACGGAGGAACGGACACCGGUCGUGCCGUGAGCACUAUUCUGCAGGGCAUACUUACAAAUGAAGCUGCACUGCAGUUCAGCUGGAAAGGGUCGCAGGGGAGGAAGCACGCCUUCGUGAAGCUCAUGGCCAUCACGAAUAUAACAUCUGUGAGGAGCACGUUCCCUGACGCUUCACUAGCAUCAAUGGCUGGAGUCGCAAAGCGCUGGUUGGUUGGAGCAGCUGACAGGGAUGGAGGCCGGAAUGAAAGAAGGCGCCGUGACCCUGCUUCAAGCCCACCAAAUAUGAACUAGUGUUUAAAACUUGUGAAUGUGUCGGUGUACAUAUACAAUUACAAGAAAUAAAGACCUGUAUCAGAA